AGAAUCAACGCUGGCGGCGUGCCUCAGACAUGCAAGUCGAACGCGAAAGUCCCCUUCGGGGGAUAAGUAGAGUGGCGCACGGGUGAGUAACACGUAGGUAAUCUACCUUCGGGUGGGGAAUAACCCAGGGAAACUUGGGCUAACACCGCAUAAUGCAGCGGCACCACAUGGUGACAGUUGUUAAAGCGGGGGAUUUUAGGACCUCGCGCCUGAAGAGGAGCCUGCGGCAGAUUAGCUAGUUGGUAAGGUAACGGCUUACCAAGGCGACGAUC
rnacentral:rRNA from 1 species